ACUUCGAAUUAGCUGCAAAGCUGCUCUCUUUUUGCUACAUUUGCACGUAGAAGGUGUCAUUGGUUGUUCUAGGCUCUCAUGGCUUGACGAAAUGCCUUUUCGUUUUUUUCUACUUGGUGCGAUGGCAAGUGCCUUCGCCCAUGAGCGGUAGGUCUCGGGUUCGAGACUUGGGAGCAGCCUCUCCAUAAAAUGGGGGUAAGGCUAGCCGACAUUCACCUCUCCCAGACCCUGCGUAAAGCGGGAGCCUUGUGCACUGGGUACGACCGACCUUAGUCACAGUUCAUAAUAAGUGUAGAAACUGAGUGAUUCUGCAGUUUUGCUUUGUCUGAUAGGCCAAGUCCGUUCAGUAAUUUUGCCAUUUCUCUUAAUGGAUUUACUUAUUCGACUAAAUUGUACUUUAAAUUAAUCUAAACUGCGGGAUGGGAAAUUCAAAGACGGUGCAUAGGGGAUAAAAAUGUGCUAGGAAAUGUGGGUAGGCCCAAGUUGAUUAGGAGUUGCAAUUGAAUUUUAUACAGGUUUCAUACUGUAACUUGUAUAAAGACUAAUAAUGUGAUUGUUAUUACAUCAAAGAUUAACAAUUUAUGCAUGGAAAUUGGAAAAGAGCAGAACCCAGUUAGGUUCUUGGAAAGAUGAGCUGUAAGAAAAAGGAUUCUUGAGAAUGGCUUUAAAUUUAUGUUCCAUAAGUAUAUUUUAUUCUGUUUCUGUUUGAUACCUUUUUCU
rnacentral:lncRNA from 1 species